rnacentral:rRNA from 1 species
AUUGAACGCUGGCGGCAGGCCUAACACAUGCAAGUCGGACGAGUGGCGGACGGGUGAGUAAUGUAUGGGAAACUGCCUGAUGGAGGGGGAUAACUACUGGAAACGGUAGCUAAUACCGCAUACCAUCAGAUGUACCCAUAUGGGAUUAGCUUGUAGGUGAGGUAAAGGCUCACCUAGGCGACGAUCCCUAGCUGGUCUGAGAGGAUGACCAGCCACACUGGAACUGAGACACGGCCCAGACUCCUACGGGAGGCAGCAGUGGGGAAUAUUGCACAAUGGGCGCAAGCCUGAUGCAGCCAUGCCGCGUGUAUGAAGAAGGCCUUCGGGUUGUAAAGUACUUUCAGCCGGGAGGCGUUACCCGCAGAAGAAGCACCGGCUAACUCCGUGCCAGCAGCCGCGGUAAUAC